GACGAACGCUGGCGGCGUGCCUAAUGCAUGCAAGUUGAGCGCUGAAGGUUGGUACUUGUACCAACUGGAUGAGCAGCGAACGGGUGAGUAACGCGUGGGGAAUCUGCCUUUGAGCGGGGGACAACAUUUGGAAACGAAUGCUAAUACCGCAUAAAAACUUUAAACACAAGUUUUAAGUUUGAAAGAUGCAAUUGCAUCACUCAAAGAUGAUCCCGCGUUGUAUUAGCUAGUUGGUGAGGUAAAGGCUCACCAAGGCGAUGAUACAUAGCCGACCUGAGAGGGUGAUCGGCCACAUUGGGACUGAGACACGGCCCAAACUCCUACGGGAGGCAGCAGUAGGGAAUCUUCGGCAAUGGACGAAAGUCUGACCGAGCAACGCCGCGUGAGUGAAGAAGGUUUUCGGAUCGUAAAACUCUGUUGGUAGAGAAGAACGUUGGUGAGAGUGGAAAGCUCAUCAAGUGACGGUAACUACCCAGAAAGGGACGGCUAACUACGU
rnacentral:rRNA from 1 species